CGCUGGCGGUGCGCCUUAUGCAUGCAAGUCGAGCGAAGCUUUUCAGUAGUUUACUACAGAAAAUGACUGAGCGGCGAACGGGUGAGUAACGCGUGAGCAAUCUACCUUAGUUACAGGGAUAGCCCGAGGAAACUCGGAUUAAUACCUGAUAUUCUUUAUAUUUCGCAUGAAAUUAAAAGGAAAGGUCAGCCGAACUAAGAUGAGCUCGCGUUCUAUCAGCUAGUUGGUGAGGUAAAAGCUCACCAAGGCUACGACGGAUAGCUGGUCUGAGAGGACGAUCAGCCACACUGGGACUGAGACACGGCCCAGACUCCUACGGGAGGCUGCAGCAGGGAAUAUUGCGCAAUGAGCGAAAGCUUGACGCAGCGACACCGCGUGUGGGAUGACGGAUCUAGGUUUGUAAACCACUUUCAGGAGGGAAGAAAAUGACGGUACCUCCACAAGAAGCCCCGGCCAACUACGUGCCAGCAGCCGCGGUAAUACGUAGGGGGCGAGCGUUGUCCGGAUUUAUUGGGCGUAAAGAGCUCGUAGGCGGUUCAACAAGUCGGUCGUGAAAGUUCAGGGCUCAACCCUGAAAUGUCGAUCGAUACUGUUGUGACUAGGAUACGGUAGAGGUGAGUGGAAUUCCGAGUGUAGCGGUGAAAUGCGUAGAUAUUCGGAGGAACACCAAUUGCGAAGGCAGCUCACUGGGCCGCUAUCGACGCUGAGGAGCGAAAGCUAGGGGAGCAAACAGGAUUAGAUACCCUGGUAGUCCUAGCUGUAAACGAUGGAUACUAGACGUAGGAACUGGAUUGACGGUUUCUGUGUCGCAGCUAACGCGUUAAGUAUCCCGCCUGGGGAGUACGGU
rnacentral:rRNA from 1 species